CGGGAAAAACGGCGGCUAUACAUGCAGUCGAACGGGAUUGGAGAGCUUGCUUUCCAUGAGAGUGGCGUACGGGUGCGUAACGCGUAUGCAACCUACCUUCAUCAGGGGGAUAGCCCGAAGAAAUUCGGAUUAACACCGCAUAACAUUAUUGGAUGGCAUCAUUUAAUAAUCAAAUAUUUAUAGGAUGAAGAUGGGCAUGCGUGUCAUUAGCUAGUUGGCGAGGUAACGGCUCACCAAGGCGACGAUGACUAGGGGAUCUGAGAGGAUGACCCCCCACACUGGUACUGAGACACGGACCAGACUCCUACGGGAGGCAGCAGUAAGGAAUAUUGGUCAAUGGAGGCAACUCUGAACCAGCCAUGCCGCGUGCAGGAAGACUGCCUUAUGGGUUGUAAACUGCUUUUAUACGGGAAUAAACCUUGAUUCGUGAAUCGAGCUGAAUGUACCGUAAGAAUAAGGAUCGGCUAACUCCGUGCCAGCAGCCGCGGUAAUACGGAGGAUCCAAGCGUUAUCCGGAUUUAUUGGGUUUAAAGGGAGCGUAGGCGGCCUAUUAAGUCAGGGGUGAAAGACGGUGGCUCAACCAUCGCAGUGCCUUUGAUACUGGUAGGCUUGAAUGUAGUUGAGGUAGGCGGAAUGUGACAAGUAGCGGUGAAAUGCAUAGAUAUGUCACAGAACACCGAUUGCGAAGGCAGCUUACUAAGCUAUGAUUGACGCUGAGGCUCGAAAGCGUGGGGAUCAAACAGGAUUAGAUACCCUGGUAGUCCACGCCCUAAACGAUGAUAACUCGAUGUUGGCGAUAUACAGUCAGCGUCCAAGCGAAAGCGUUAAGUUAUCCACCUGGGGAGUACGCCCGCAAGGGUGAAACUCAAAGGAAUUGACGGGGGCCCGCACAAGCGGAGGAGCAUGUGGUUUAAUUCGAUGAUACGCGAGGAACCUUACCCGGGCUUGAAAGUUACUGAAGAAUUUAGAGAUAGAUUCGUCCUUCG
rnacentral:rRNA from 1 species